GGACGCCAGUCUGCGUGGAGCCAACCUUGAAAUACCACCCUGGCAACUUUGAGGUUCUAACUCAGGUCCGUUAUCCGGAUCGAGGACAGUGUAUGGUGGGUAGUUUGACUGGGGCGGUCUCCUCCUAAAGAGUAACGGAGGAGUACGAAGGUGCGCUCAGACCGGUCGGAAAUCGGUCGUAGAGUAUAAAGGCAAAAGCGCGCUUGACUGCGAGACAGACACGUCGAGCAGGUACGAAAGUAGGUCUUAGUGAUCCGGUGGUUCUGUAUGGAAGGGCCAUCGCUCAACGGAUAAAAGGUACUCCGGGGAUAACAGGCUGAUACCGCCCAAGAGUUCAUAUCGACGGCGGUGUUUGGCACCUCGAUGUCGGCUCAUCACAUCCUGGGGCUGAAGCCGGUCCCAAGGGUAUGGCUGUUCGCCAUUUAAAGUGGUACGCGAGCUGGGUUUAGAACGUCGUGAGACAGUUCGGUCCCUAUCUGCCGUGGACGUUUGAGAUUUGAGAGGGGCUGCUCCUAGUACGAGAGGACCGGAGUGGACGAACCUCUGGUGUUCCGGUUGUCACGCCAGUGGCAUUGCCGGGUAGCUAUGUUCGGAAAAGAUAACCGCUGAAAGCAUCUAAGCGGGAAACUUGCCUCAAGAUGAGAUCUCACUGGAACCUUGAGUUCCCUGAAGGGCCGUCGAAGACUACGACGUUGAUAGGUUGGGUGUGUAAGCGCUGUGAGGCGUUGAGCUAACCAAUACUAAUUGCCCGUGAGGCUUGACCAUAUAACACCCAAGCA
rnacentral:rRNA from 1 species